CCUACGGGAGGCAGCAGUGAGGAAUAUUGGUCAAUGGACGAGAGUCUGAACCAGCCAAGUAGCGUGAAGGAUGACUGCCCUAUGGGUUGUAAACUUCUUUUAUAUGGGAAUAAAACAGGGUAUGCAUACCCUCUUGUAUGUACCAUAUGCAUAAGGAUCGGCUAACUCCGUGCCAGCAGCCGCGGUAUUACGGAGGAUCCGAGCCUUAUCCGGAUUUAUUGGGUUUAAAGGGAGCGUAGGUGGAUUGUUAAGUCAGUUGUGAAAGUUUGCGGCUCAACCGUAAAAUUGCAGUUGAAACUGGCAGUCGUGAGUACAGUAGAGGUGGGCGGAAUUCGUGGUGUAGCGGUGAAAUGCUUAGAUAUCACGAAGAACUCCGAUUGCGAAGGCAGCUCACUGGACUGCAACUGACACUGAUGCUCGAAAGUGUGGGUAUCAAACAGGAUUAGAUACCCCUGUAGUC
rnacentral:rRNA from 1 species